rnacentral:misc_RNA from 1 species
GCCUAAAAAUGCAUGACCACACUUCUUCACCAUGAACUGUUGAACAGAAUGUAGGAAGUAUGUAGUCAAGGCUCCAAGCUCAACUUUUCCUUUCUUUUCUGAUGUGGGACUUUUGUUCUGCCUUUAAUAUUGAAAAUAUUCAACAGACCUUAGCUAUGGACCUCUUAAUAUUAAUAAGAUAAUAGCCAUGGAUAUUUGUUCCAUGCUCUUCCAAUCAAAAGGAUAAAAGGAAGAAGAGAUUCUCAAAGCUUGAUCUCUAUUAGAAUUCAACCAACACGCAUGAUCACUAAAUAUUUGCCUACCUGCAAUUGAAGGACCAAGAG